CUCAUAAGAAAAUUGACCGCGUUUUAAAAAAAUUGGGUUUUUGUAACAAUUAGAUUUGCCCACCUCUGGUCAUUUUAGUCAUGAGUAAGGAACUAAAGAGGUCAUUUUCACGUCUGGUCAGAUUGGAUUUGCCCACCUCUAAAGUGUAUUAAUGGUCAUAUAUCUAACUAUUGACGUUUUAGUUUGUCGUGAAAAAAGUUGGGAUGAUUGCUUGAUUCUAAAACCAAGGGGGAUGGCGCGGGGACGGACGAUGGAGUUUGCCGCGCGUGGUGGACACUUGGGCGGGAUUCCUCGGAAGCUAACUAUUUCCGCUGUCGGAUCUUUCGCCAAGGUGAUGACGACACUUCUCAACAACACAAGCGUUCACAACGGUGAAACCCUCCUUCAUCUCGUCCGUUCUCGCCCUCUUGGUGUUCCCCUCCUUACUGUCAGCAAUCACAUGUCUACGUUGGAUGAUCCACUCAUGUGGGGAUUCAAGGGUUUUCCUGUAACAGAUGCCAAAUUGGCAAGAUGGGUACUUGCUGCUGAAGAUAUAUGUUUCAAAAACACAGUGAUGUCUUAUUUUUUUCGACUUGGAAAAUGCAUACCUAUCUCCAGAGGUGGUGGAGUUUAUCAGAAACACAUGGAUGAAGCUCUAGAGCGCUUGACCGAUGGAGAAUGGCUACACACAUUUCCUGAAGGGAAAGUAUCUCAGCAAGAUGUUUCAAUUAGAAGAUUAAAAUGGGGAACUGCUAGUCUUAUCGCACGUGCCCCAUUGACCCCGAUAGUUUUACCGAUUGUCCAUCAUGGUUUCCAUAAGGUCAUGCCAGAGGAUUACUUAUUUGGUAGAAGACCAGUAGUUCCGCUCAUCAACAAGAAUGUUAAGAUUAUUGUUGGUGAUCCUAUAGAAUUUGACCUUCCUAGAUUGAGGGAAAUGGCAUUAUCAGAAUCUUGUGAUGAAUCUUCACCUGAGCUUGGAUGGCCAAGCCUCAGUCCUUAUGGACUAAACGAAGUGGCUCAGAGAUUUCUCUACUCCAUGAUAUCAGAGAAGAUACAAACUAUCAUGGAGAACUUGCGUCAAAUUGGGAAAACAAUUUCAAAGCAAUAGGAUUAAGAUCUUGUCCUUUUUCAUGAAGAGAAGCGGAAUCAGCUUUACGUUACAGGGCUGUUUUACGAAAAAUACUCCUUAUAUGACCAUGUGAAUUUGAGCUAGUGUGCAUGAUAUCUUUAAUUGAUUUGAAAAGGCGAGGCGCUCUACACAAUAUUGCAAGUCAAAUCAUACUUGAACAUCAUGGGUCAUUCCAUUUUCAAGUGCAGAUUUUUUUAUUUUUGAAUCGAAUU